rnacentral:rRNA from 1 species
UACGGGGGCCCCAAGCGUUGUCCGGUUUUAUUGGGCGUAAAGAGUUCUGUAGGUUGUAUUGUAAGUUAUGGGUUAAAUCCUUCGGCUCAACCGAAGUUUCGCUCGUAAUACUGCAGUACUAGAGGUAGAUAGGGGAAAGCGGAACACAUGGUGUAGUGGUGGAAUACGUUGAUAUCAUGUGGAACACCUAAGGCGUAGGCAGCUUUCUGGGUCUAUCCUGACACUGAGAGACGAAAGCGUGGGGAGCAAAACGG